rnacentral:misc_RNA from 1 species
GGAAUGUGAAAUGAAGGGAAAAAUCUUGAAGAACUUAGUUGCUUUAGGCUUGGAUUUUCUCUCUAAAAUUGCAGACAAGCUAAGAGUUUGACAUCAAUUUAGCGUUUGGCUGGAUUUUAUUUUUAGUUUUAUAGCUGUACCAAUGGCUUGUCUGUGUGAACAGAUCCAACUUUGGAUUGUAUAAGCCAACAAGCCAUUGGAUGUCAAAAGAAAGUUGAAUAUGACGUGAUAACAAGUAAAAGUGUUGGUUUUCCUUGCACAUUUCUCAAUGUGACCUUUAUUCUGUAUAACCCAGGUUAAGAUUCACAACACUUGAUCUUUUGCAAUUCCUUUCCCAGUUUCCCAAUGUGCUGCUUAUUUUGUUGUGACAUCAGAACUUCGGGCAAAAU